rnacentral:rRNA from 1 species
UACGGGGGGGGCAAGCGUUGUUCGGAAUUACUGGGCGUAAAGGGCUCGUAGGUGGCCAACUAAGUCAGACGUGAAAUCCCUCAGCUUAACUGGGGAACUGCGUCUGAUACUGGAUGGCUUGAGUUUGGGAGAGGGAUGCGGAAUUCCAGGUGUAGCGGUGAAAUGCGUAGAUAUCUGGAGGAAUACCGGUGGCGAAGGCGGCAUCCUGGACCGACAUUGACGCUGAGGAGCGAAAGCGUGGGGAGCGAACAGG